UGGCGGACGGGUGAGUAACGCGUGGGUAACCUACCUCACACAGGGGGAUAACAGUUGGAAACGACCGCUAAUACCGCAUAAGCCGGAAGGAUCGCAUGAUUCGGCCGGAAAAGAUUUAUCGGUGUGAGAUGGACCCGCGUCUGAUUAGCCAGUUGGCAGGGUAACGGCCUACCAAAGCGACGAUCAGUAGCCGGCCUGAGAGGGUGAACGGCCACAUUGGGACUGAGACACGGCCCAAACUCCUACGGGAGGCAGCAG
rnacentral:rRNA from 1 species